GUCGUCCUUUCGGCUACGAGGCUCACCCGGCUGGUUCUGAUCAGAAGCUGCUGAGCUGUGCGUUCUGUCAUCCCAAGACAACGAUGCGGGGCUGGAGGGGCGAGCCGCGUGCUGGAGGGAGCCUCCUGUCCGAGGGGACGCUGUCAGUGCUGAUGGAGGGCCGCGGCCCGCCUUGCAGGCAGCGCACAUCUGGAAACACUCGGGGUCAGCGGGCCCGGGCCAUGAAAGAUUCAAUCACCAAAGGGAUCUUGAUGCGGCCCCUAAUGAACAAAUGGGUAACUCUGACAGAGAACAGAAAAGCCUGGAGUGCAACACAAUUCAU